rnacentral:tRNA from 2 species
AGUAUAGCUCAGUUGGUAGAGCUACUGAUUUGUAAUCAGUGGGUCGGGGGUUCGAGUCCCUCUGCUG